GGCCAGAUAGCUCAACGGUAGAGCACUCGGUUGAAGCCCGAGGUACGAAGGUUCGAUUCCUUCUCUGGCCACCA
rnacentral:tRNA from 1 species